GCGCAAAUGGUUUAGUGGUAAAAUCCAUCGUUGCCACUGUUAAUUCAAGACUCGAUGGGCCCCCGGUUCGAUUCCGGGUUUGCGCA